rnacentral:lncRNA from 1 species
GGGGAUUCCAGAGACUAUCGUGAGUAUUUUGAGAGAAAAUUUCCCUGUCUGCUUCCUCAGUUAUUUAGUUCCCACUUUGACUUAUCUCUGGAGGAGAAAGGCUUUCAUUGACUACAGAGGCUAUUUCAUGGACUAUUUGGUUAUUGUGAAUUCUCUCCUGUGUGUAUUCUGUUUUGUUGUGAGGAGCACAUUUACCCAGAGGAAACUGUCAGUAGAAUCUAGUCCUGUGUAAGCACAGAUGUGUGCCCCAAGAAGACGGAAAUUCAAAUAAUUAACGCUUAAAACCAGCAUCUUACUGCUGUGAAGUAAUUCUAUUUCUAGCACAGCUUAAUCCAUGCUAGUGUUGGUCUUCAGAAUAAUGUAUGGACAGUAUGGACUGGAGAGCAAAAAUGCCAAAAAUAUCAAUAGUGUGACAGGCCAGUUUUAAUGACUGUGCAUCUAUUUUUAUAUAGGAGUAUCAAUGCACAAGUAGUCAGAGUGAAAUCGAAAGGGACGCUGGGUGAGGAUAAGCAUUUCUAAAUCACUCAGACUGGAAACAUAUUUCUUAAUACAUGUUAUCAACAUUUCUAUUUUAAGCAUCUGUACUGAUCAAAGAUGCAACCUCUUCAGAGUUAAGAACUGAGAAGUAGAGCUGUGUAGAACGUGGAAUCACUUUUGCAUUGUUCACCUGACGUAAUUUGCAAUUCUGCAUAUUAAGUGAAGGUAAAGAGUACACAAAGAUAGUCAUGUAGCCCUUCAGCACUGAGAGUUCAUUAUCCCUCAGGAAUCCUGCACUGUGUGAAAGCUUUGACGAAAACGGAAAGAAUCAGAGAAAGGGCUCAGUGAGACUUUGCUGAAGACCAGGAUCAACCAGUUUCAGUACAAGCCUCAAGAAUCUUACAGAAACUUCAAAGACCAGAGGAGCAUUGCUUUGCUUUAUGUUCACACACGGCCUUUCACAGCUGUUUUAAGAGCAGGAAAACCAGGAAGAGAAAGUGUGUGAGAGAGACGGAAUGGAAGGAAAAAAGAGAAGAAGGAAGGAGAAGGAGAAGAAGGGGGAGGCGUGAAGAGGAGAAAAAAGAAGGAAGAAAGAUGGAUGAAGAUGGUGAGACCUCAUUGUGGCCUUCCAGUGCUUGAAGGGAGCAUAAAAACAGGAGGUGGAAUGGCUGUUUAAGAGGGUGGAGCGUGAUAGGACAAGGAGAAAUGGUUUUAAACUGAGACAGGGGACGUUUAGGUUAGAUAUUAGGAGGAAGUUUUUCACUCAGAGGGUGGUGACGCACUGGAACAGGUUGCCCAAGGAGGUUGUGGAUGCCCCAUCCCUGGAGGCAUUCAAGGCCAGACUGGAUGUGGCUCUGGGCAGCCUGGUCUAGUGGUUGGCAACCCUGCACACAGCAGGGAGGUUGAAACUAGGUGAUCUUUGCGGUUCUGCUCAACCCAGGCCAUUCUAUGA